rnacentral:tRNA from 1 species
GCCCGAGUGGCGGAAUAGGUAGACGCACGGGACUUAAAAUCCCGAGGGGGAAACCUCGUGCCGGUUCGAUUCCGGCCUCGGGUACCA